CCUUCGAUAGCUCAGUUGGUAGAGCGGUGGACUGUAGAAGCUUGCGAUAGAGUAAUCCAUAGGUCACUGGUUCAAAUCCGGUUCGAAGGA
rnacentral:tRNA from 1 species